AUGCCUGUCGGGCUUUUUGUAGGUGUCAACAACCAUUAUCAGUCCACUCUUUUCGGUUGUGUUGUUUUGCGAGAGGAGACUGUAGAGUCGUUCAAGUGGGCUUUUGCAACCUUCCUUGAUGCCAACGGCGGUAAAACACCAAAAUUAAACUAUUCUCACAGAUCAAUGCUUGCAGAUGGAGCGUGCAAUUGCUGA
rnacentral:rRNA from 1 species